AGUUAUAUGCUUGUCUCAAAGAUUAAGCCAUGCAUGUCUAAGUACAAACGAAAAUAAAGUGAAACCGCAAAAGGCUCAUUAUAUCAGUUAUGGUUUCUUAGAUCGUAUCCACAAUUACUUGGAUAACUGUGGUAAUUCUAGAGCUAAUACAUGCAUUUAAAGAGAAACCAGCAAUGGGUUCUCUGCUUUUAUUAGAUUUAAACCAAUGGGGAGCGUUUCGGCGUUCUUACAUUUAAACUGGUUGAACUCUGGAUAAUUUGUUGAUCGCAUGGUCUCGUACCGGCGACGGAUCUUUCAAAUGUCUGCCCUAUCAACUAUUGAAGGUAAUGUCUUGGAUUACCUUGGUUGCAACGGGUAACGGGGAAUCAGGGUUCGAUUCCGGAGAGGGAGCCUGAGAAACGGCUACCACAUCUAAGGAAGGCAGCAGGCGCGUAAAUUACCCACUCCCAGCACGGGGAGGUAGUGACGAAAAAUAACAAUACAAGACUCACAUCCGAGGCCUUGUAAUUGGAAUGAGUACACUUUAAAUCCUUUAACAAGGAUCAAUUGGAGGGCAAGUCUGGUGCCAGCAGCCGCGGUAAUUCCAGCUCCAAUAGCGUAUAUUAAAGUUGUUGCGGUUAAAACGUUCGUAGUUGAACUUGUGUUCCGCACGGGCAGUACCAAACAACUGGUAAAACAGUGGUGGUACCUUGUCUUACUUCCUGUCUCCGGAUUAGGAAAUGUGCGUGGACGUAUUAUCGGCGUGUUCGCUCUAGUAGCGUUCACAUAAGCCCAUCGCAGUGCUCUUAMACAMGUGUUGCUGUGGGCCGAYACAAAUUACYUUGAACAAAUUAGAGUGCUUAAAGCAGGCUUGUAAUGCCUGAAUAUUUUGUGCAUGGAAUAAUGAAAUAGGACAUCUGUUCUACUUUCAUUGGUUUUUUAGACCAA
rnacentral:rRNA from 1 species